AAACUCCCUUGACGGUACUUAAUGAAUAAGCCCCGGCUAAUUAUGUGCCAGCAGCCGCGGUAAUACAUAAGGGGCGAGCGUUAUCCGGAAUUAUUGGGCGUAAAGGGUGCGUAGGCGGUUUAAUAAGUCUAUAGUUUAAUUUCAGUGCUUAACGCUGUUGUGCUAUAGAAACUGUUUUACUAGAGUGAGUUAGAGGCAAGCGGAAUUCCAUGUGUAGCGGUAAAAUGCGUAAAUAUAUGGAGGAACACCAGAGGCGUAGGCGGCUUGCUGGGACUUUACUGACGCUGAGGCACGAAAGCGUGGGGAGCAAACAGGAUUAGAUACCCUGGUAGUCCACGCCGUAAACGAUGAGUACUAAGUGUCGGGUAAAACCGGUACUGAAGUUAACACAUUAAGUACUCCGCCUGAGUAGUACGUACGCAAGUAUGAAACUUAAAGGAAUUGACGGGACUCCGCACAAGCGGUGGAUCAUGUUGUUUAAUUCGAAGAUACACGAAAAACCUUACCAGGUCUUGACAUUUUCUUGCGAAGUUAUAGAAAUAUAAUGGAGGUUAUCAGGAAAACAGGUGGUGCAUGGUUGUCGUCAGCUCGUGUCGUGAGAUGUUAGGUUAAGUCCUAAAACGAGCGCAACCCUUGUCGUUAAUUGCCAGCAUGUAAUGAUGGGGACUUUAACGAGACUGCCAAUGAAAAAUUGGAGGAAGGUGGGGAUUACGUCAAAUCAUCAUGCCCCUUAUGAUCUGGGCUACAAACGUGAUACAAUGGUUGAUACAAAGAGUAGCUGAAACGCGAGUUCUUAGCCAAUCUCACAAAA
rnacentral:rRNA from 1 species